rnacentral:rRNA from 1 species
GAUGAACGCUGGCGGCGUGCCUAAUACAUGCAAGUCGAGCGAACAGACGAGGAGCUUGCUCCUCUGACGUUAGCGGCGGACGGGUGAGUAACACGUGGAUAACCUACCUAUAAGACUGGGAUAACUUCGGGAAACCGGAGCUAAUACCGGAUAAUAUAUUGAACCGCAUGGUUCAAUAGUGAAAGACGGUUUUGCUGUCACUUAUAGAUGGAUCCGCACCGCAUUAGCUAGUUGGUAAGGUAACGGCUUACCAAGGCAACGAUGCGUAGCCGACCUGAGAGGGUGAUCGGCCACACUGGAACUGAGACACGGUCCAGACUCCUACGGGAGGCAGCAGUAGGGAAUCUGCCGCAAUGGGCGAAAGCCUGACGGAGCAACGCCGCGUGAGUGAUGAAGGUCUUCGGAUCGUAAAACUCUGUUAGUAGGGAAGAACAAAUGUGUAAGUAACUAUGCACGUCUUGACGGUACCUAAUCAGAAAGCCACGGCUAACUACGUG